UACGGAGGGUGCGAGCGUUGUCCGGAAUCACUGGGCGUAAAGGGCGCGUAGGCGGCGCGGGGAGUCAACGGUGAAAGCUCGGCGCUCAACGCCGAGUCGGCCGUCGAUACUCCCGUGCUCGAGCACUGUAGAGGCAGGUGGAAUUCCGGGUGUAGCGGUGGAAUGCGUAGAGAUCCGGAAGAACACCGGUGGCGAAGGCGGCCUGCUGGGCAGUAGCUGACGCUGAGGCGCGACAGCGUGGGCAGCAAACAGG
rnacentral:rRNA from 1 species